rnacentral:lncRNA from 1 species
GCUAAACCAAACCCCAGCAUCUCCUUUUUGAUUUCCCCUUAACAGAAUCCCAAUCUCACCGAUCUGCCCCUAUCAACAGUGACCAACAGAUUCGGGCUUCAAGGGACGACAAUCUCGACCGCCAGAUUCUUUCUACGCUCCGAUUUCAACGAAAAAGAUGAAAUCUCUUAGCACAUUUGCAAGGUAAUUCUCUUGUUUUCUCUUUGUUUUCAAAUGCAUAUAAACUCUAAUGAAAGACUAAUGGAAUCGAAAGAGAAAAGAAAAAUUAAAAAUAUUUGAAUCCAAAAUCACCUUUUCAAUUUUGAUUGCUUUUUUCAAUAUCCGUAUCUUCGACCCUCUACAAAUUACAUUCGGUCUUUAUUUAUAGUCGAAUAAAGAAAAAUAAGAAAAAACAGAAAAUAAAAGAAAUUCCCUAGAUCUUUCUAUUAUUUUUCGCUGCCCAUUUGCUGUAGAUUUGCUUUGUUGUUGCACCCUUCUUGCUGUGGCUUGUGGUUUGUUAAUUUGUUAUAGGUACAGAAGGAGCCAGUUGGAGGUGGUGACGUACGUGGGAUGUACGGAGGAAAAGGUCUGCUCGUGGUGAGGCUGUUUGUAGGAGCUGCAGUACAGGCUUCCAGAAGCUUCAACCUACUUGGACCCUACGAGCUUACCCCGGAGUCCAGCUGCUGGGGCUUGGAGGCUAUUGCGGGGUGAGGAAACUUCAGAAACCCUUAAGGUUUCUGAAAGAAUUUAGACAUCGGGCCCUUUUGGGUUAAUUUUUAUUUGGGCCAAAGGUUUAGAUUUGGGCUAUUAUUUUUGGGCUUUUGUACUUAGGCUAAUCAGGCCUUGCUUAUUCAGGUCUGACCCUGCAUUGAUCUGGACCUAUUUAGGUUUUGGGGUUUAUUGGGCUAUAAAUGUAAAUGGACUGGGACUAUUAAAACAUUUGGUUUUAUUUAUUUUGUUUGUUUUUUUUUUUUGGUUUUUGUAUAGGCCCGGGCGAAAUGGGCCUAUUUCAUGGAGCGUUCAAAGAUGAUUUAGGAUUCACAGAAAGAGAUAUAUUGCAACACCUGGUUUUCAAUUAACCCGAAAUUACGAAUGAAUAAGGGACUAAAUUAGAGAUCGCAAGUUGGCCUAUAUUGAAAGAAACGGGAAAGCUGGAAACUAAAUUGGACAUGGUUUAGAUCUGAUUCUGGUUCAGUUAGGAUGGAACCUAUUAGUUCCUUAAUGGGAGACAUCAUAACUAGCAAUGUUCUCAUAAGGUUGGUGAUAGCGCGAGAAGGGUUAUAAAUAGUUAGGAGAUGGCUCCCAGGUAUGAUUUUUUCUUUCUGAGUUAGUUUCUUUUUCUCUUCAUCAUUUUUUUUGAUAGCCUGAAAAAGGAUUAACCAUGGAAGGUUCAGCAUGGAGCAAACUUCAAAAGGAUGGAAAUGGAAAAGUAGGGAAACCAACAAGCGGGUAAGGUUCUUAACCCUUUUAUGUGCGUAGAAUGAAGUUAUAAAACUUUAGAACUAUUUUAAAGGUAGUAACGCUUAGCUACCAAGAGAAUGGAAGCUCUGGUAUUCGAGAAGGCUAAGCUAUGGAAACAAUAAGGAUUUAGGUGAGUUCUAGACAUAAAAUAAAUUGACUUAAUUAAAGUAUUUCCAAAUCGUAGAAUUUACUUCUAAUUCAAAUAAAGUUCAAUCGAGCUUUUAUUAAGCUAGCGGAGGGACUAAUCAGACAUAUACAAUUAGGCUCUAGUAAUUACAAUUAUGUCUAGAAGCAUCUUUCCGAUAAUUUGCAAUUACUUAAUCAUAGAGUCAGUCCACAUUGAAAAUGUAACACCCCUUACCCGUAUUCAUCGCCGCAAUAGGGUAGGAGGCAUUACCGGAGUUUACCGAAUUAAUUUUUCGUUAAUACGAGUUAAAUACUAUUUAUUUACUAAAACAUGUCAUGGUGUCCUUUAGAUGGGCCUCCAAAGCCCAAAACAUACUUCGAGACCAAACUAGAAUUAAAUCGAAACCAUAGGGAAUUUUUUGCAAAAUCCCAAAGUUUUUUUUUUUUGCUCAAUAUAACCCCUUUAUAAAUAUCUAACCUUCCCUGCAAUUUUUAAAACCGAGACCAAUCCAACCAACCAAUUCAUUUCAAUCAAUUUAAUACAAAAUUAUACUUCUAUUAUAAUUAUACUAUUUAACAUACUCAUCAUUCUUUACUUUAAUGUAUAUUCAUUAAACAAGUCUUAAUAUUUAUAUAAUCACCAAGCCUUAUACAUGCCAUAUAAAUCAAAAAGGAAAUUUACAAAAGCUACCGGAGAUAAUCUAGAUAGUGUGAUCCUCUGUAUUGAUCCGAUUCUCCGUAUACUUCCACGUCAAUCUACAAGAGACUUUGAAUACACUCAAAUAAGCUUAUAAAAGCUUAGUAAGUUCAUAGGCAUAAAACAUAAAUCUUACCAAAUAUUUAUACACUUAUACUAUAUACACAAUUAUUAAGUUUACCUGUCAAUCACAGUCAUUGGUGAGUUCCCUAUAUAAACUCACUACCACUUAUCCAUUUCCAUUAAUUCCUUUGGGCCCAUUUGUCAUGUAUCAUUCUUUAACCAAAUUAGGGAAUGGUAAAGGAAAAUUGAGUAUUUCACUUUCACUUUGUCAUAGUAUAACUAUGGUCUUGCAUAUGAUCACUUAUCACUUUUUAAAAUCAUAGUCCUGCCACGGUCUUACACUGAUCACAUUUAUCACUUGUCACUGAUCAGAUAAGUGUAGCUAAAGCUACCACUUAUCACUUAUCACUUGUCACUGAUCAGAUAAGAGUAGCUAAGCUACCACUUAUCAUUUGUCACUUAUCACUGAUCAGAUAAGUGUAGCUGAGGCUACCACUUAUCACUUAUCACUUGUCACUGAUCAGAAGUACUCAAAUCCGACAUUCCACUCAAUUUGAUCAUUUAUUCGAUUUUCAGGUUGUUAUUUUAUUUUCUAUUCAUCAAUAAAUAUAUUUCAUCAUACAUUAUAUAAUUCAUAAAAUUAACAUAUAAUCAUUAAACUUCAACCAUAUGAACUUACCUGGGUUGAUUUGUAAAAUUUGUGAAAAUUCAGGGACUAAUCAGCUACUUUUUCUUUUCCUCGACUUGCUUCAGGUUCUUGAUCUAUCAUUGUAAAAUCAUUCAUUUAUCAGUAUUGACUUCAUCUUCAACCCGCUUAUAAGUAAUAUCAUCUAUAAUUUAAUUGUUUACUUAUGUAUAUUCCAAUGUUGUCCAUCUGUGUUAUAGUCACUAAAUUAUUUUUAUCUUUAGCUACAGAACUCCAAAUUAGGAUCCGCUAAUUUUAUCUAAAACUAGACUCAUAUAUCUUCUUAUCAUAAAAUUUUUAGAAUUUUUGGUUUAGCCAAUAAGUACACUUUAUUCUUUAAAGUCACCCCUGUUCUGCUAUCUGACAAUUCCGACCCUUCUUCACUAAAAAUUAAUUAUCUCUUCGUACAGAAUUCGGAUGAUGUCCAUGUUUGUUUCUAUUGAAAAUAGACUCAAUAAGGAAUCUGUACAUAUAAAGAAUGACUUCUAAUUAUUUUUUUUACAAUUUAUUAUGAAUUUUUAAAGUAAGAAUAGAGGAUCCAGAAAUCACUCUGGCCCUGUUUCACAAGGUUUCAAAUAUAUCAUAAAGUAUAAUUUAUAUGUCUCUUUUUUUUAUCCAUAUGAAAAUAGACUCAUUAAGCUUAAAUUUCAUAACUUGCUCAUCAUUUAAUUCCAUUUAUACUAUUUUUAGUGAUUUUUCAAAGUUAGACUACUGCUACUGUCCAAAACUGUUUUAGUGCAAAUGUUGAUUUCGAUUUUUGCCCCAAAUUUCACAGUUCAUACAAUUCAGUCAUUGCUCAAUUAAUCCCUCAAUGAAGCUAAUUAUUCCCAAUUAAUGCUUUACCUUAACAUUAUAAGUUAUUUCACAAUUAUUUAAAUUCAGAAUUUCCACAUAAAACCUUAACUUCAAACUUUUUCACCUUUAGAUCCCAAACAUUCACUUUCUAUUCAAUUCUUUCAAUAAAAUCAGCAUAUAAACAAUUUAAAACUCUAAUUCCAUGCUAAAUCAUCAUAUAAUUCCAGCACAUAUUCAUAUCAACUUUCAAUUUCUUUCAUAGAAUCAAAAACUAAUGAAUUCAACAAGUUGAUCUAGUUGUAAAAGUCAUAAAAACACAAAAAUUUCAAGAAAUAAUCAAGAAUUGAACUUACUUGCAGUAAAAAUAUGAAAAACCAGCUUAAGAAAACCCUUCUAUGGUGGAUUUCUUCUGAUGAGAAUGCAGAAAAAUAAUGAGAAUUCUAGAUAAUUCCACUUUAGUCCUAGUUUAUUAAGUAAAAUUUUACAAUAUUCCAAUUUUGCCCUUAAUUCAUCAAUUUUCCUGCUGAUUUCAUGCACCUUGCCGUCCAGACCAAAUAGGCCUGGGGUCUAUUUGCCUUUUAAACCCUCUUUCUUUUAUCAUUUAAGCUAUUUAAUCAUUUCCCAUAAUUUUACAUUUGUUACAAUUUAAUCCUUUUUAUUCAAUUAACUAUCGAAACUUUAAAAUUUCUUGACGAAACUUUAAUACUAACUUAUUAACACUCCAUAAAUAUUUAUAAAAAUAUUUAUGGCUCGUUUUAAAAAUUUUCAAAUUCUCGAUAUCUCGUUUCUGAUUCUAAUUUAAUUUUUUUUUCAAGUAUACUAUUCGCUAUUUCAAAAAUUUUCCUAACUUCACACUUAACUUAUAUUCACUAAAUUAUUAAUAUUUUCUACUCAUUUGUCGGAUUUAGUGAUCUCGAAUCACUAUUCUGACACCACUGAAAAUUCAGGCUAUUACAGAAAACUACUUAUUGUAUACUCUUUACGAAAGUAAUUCAUCGAACUACUUUGUCCAAUGACAUUGUCAUGUGUAUGUUAUCCUCAUAUGAGAUCCUUGAUUCCUUUGAAUUAAAUCCGUUUACUCAAUAUAAUCAUAUGUUAUCUCAUUGUAACCAUUGUGUCUUCUUAAUGAUUAAUAUGACCACUGUCAACAAAUGAUUGUGAUAAAUUUCUCGUUCGAAAACGAGUAACCCGUGGUCAUGUUUCAUAUUUAUCAAUCUACACAAUGCCAAUGGGAGAAUAUCGUUAACUCUUUAAUUGAGCUAUGAAUUCCACUGUUGCUAGUAAAGUCAUGCCAUACACAAGUCAUGUACCCAACGUACCAACUAUCGGCUUGAUCAUCUUUAAAGCAUAAGCCUCCACUUAUUUCAAAGCACAUGAGUUACAUAUGCAUGGUCUAAUUGAGCUAUGAAUUCCAUUUUUGCUAGUAAAGUCAUGCCAUACAAAAGUCAUGUACCCAAUGUACUAACUAUCGGCUUGAUCAUCUUUAGAGCAUAAGCCUCCACUUAUUUCAAAGCACAUGAGUUACAUACGCAUGGUCAGUGACUAACUCAGGAUUUAGGUAAAUCACACCAUGAAUGUAACAAGUGAAUUAAUUCACAAACGGAUUCAGAAUUAAUUCAUCUUGGGUCCGGUCCAAUAUAUCAUUCUGCCAAUGAAUACAUCUAUAUCUUUACCCGUAGAGUCAACUGCUCCGAUAACCAAGAUUAGGCAUCUCCUUAAUUAAAAUUGUAGACAACAUAAUAUCAUUUUUAGUAUUUGAAUCAAAUGCUUUCUUUGUUUUUUUUUUACGGGAUUACAGACUCACUUAGAUUAUCUAUUGAAGUAAGAUGUCUUUCUUACAAUGUAAACAUUCUUACAAUGCCACUUAUCAUCAGUUUGAACUUAAACAAUCAAUGAGCUAAUUUUUGCUUGUUACAAUGUCACUAUGCAUGCAAAAUAUGAAAGAUAGAAUUACAAAAGAUAUAACAGUGAAAUGUCAAAUUUAUUUAUUCAUCGUUCAAAUACAUAGAAAACAAUUACAUGUUUACUACAAUAUGUGAACAUUUCUGAACAAUCUUCCACUUUCCCUAGUAAAGUAAAUGUGUCAUGUUUCACAUUCCUAUAUCUUCAACGUGUUUGUUAAAACCCCUAGUUUUGUUAAAAUUCCUAGUUAUAAGAAUUUUAGUAAAUGGAUCUGCAAUGUUAUCUUCAGAAGCUACUUUCACCACAUCUACAAUUCCUUCAGUUACUGCCUCUCGUAUCAAGUGACUUCUCAUUUCGUCCUCUUGUAACUUCUUAUUUCAUUGGUAUUAGCUAUUGCAACACUGUUAUCACAAUACAAUGUUAUAGCUUUUUCUAUACCAAGACUUCAAGAUCGAUUAAGAACUUUCGAAGCCAUAUUGCUUCUUUAAUUGUCUCAGAAGUAGCGACAUACUCGGCCUCCAUAGUAGAGUCAGUAGUGCAAGUUUGUUUUACACUUCUCUAUACUAUGGCUCUAUGGCCUAGAACAAAUACAUUUCCUGAUGUCGAUUUUCUCGAAUCUUUACAGGUUUGGAAGUUCGAGUAUAUGUUUUCAAUAGGAGUAAGGUUCUCUCUAAAAUACACAAGCAUAUAAUCCCUUAUUCUUUUAAGAUACUUUAAUAUAUGCUUUACAACUUGCCAAUGCUUGAGACCAUGAUUUGCCUGAUAUCGAUUAAUCAUUCCUAUUACAAAACAGAUAUCUAGACAUGUGCAAAGCAUCGCAUGAUAAGGUUUUCAACUAUCGAAGCAUAUGAAAUCUUACUCAUAUGCUCUCUUUCUUUUGCUGUCUUAGGACAAUCAUCUAGAAAAAGAUGAAAAUCUGAUGCAAUCAAUUGAGUGCCUGGCUUUGCAUUUAUCAUUGCAAAAUGUUCCGAUUCUUUAAAAUUAUUAUUUUUAUUAUAAAAUUAAAGAAGAUUAUACCUUUAAAUAUUUGAGAAUCCCAAAUAUUUUAAGUGUUUAUUAUUAAGAAGGAUUUCUUAUCUCACCGGAAUCUCAAACAUCGAUUUUUAUUCUUGAUUCUCACGCAAUAUGGAAACGGAAG